UAAGGAGGUGGCGGUGGUGAUUUGUAGUAGUAUGGUGGUGGAGGGCUAAGAGGUGAUGGAGGUGGUGAUUUGUAGUAGUAUGGUGGUGGGGGACUAGGAGACGGUGGAGG